rnacentral:rRNA from 1 species
UUGGAGGGCAAGUCUGGUGCCAGCAGCCGCGGUAAUUCCAGCUCCAAUAGCGUAUAUUAAAGUUGUUGUGGUUAAAAAGCUCGUAGUUGAACCUUGGGCCUGGCUGGCCGGUCCGCCUCACCGCGUGCACUGGUCCGGCCGGGCCUUUCCCUCUGCGGAACCCCAUGCCCUUCACUGGGUGUGGCGGGGAAACAGGACUUUACUUUGAAAAAACUUAGAGUGCUCAAGGCAGGCCUAUGCUCGAAUACAUUAGCAUGGAAUAAUAGAAUAGGA